CAAGACCUUGCGCUAUUGGAGCGGCCGAUGUCCGAUUAGCUAGUUGGUGAGGUAAAGGCUCACCAAGGCGACGAUCGGUAGCUGGUCUGAGAGGACGACCAGCCACACUGGGACUGAGACACGGCCCAGGCUCCUACGGGAGGCAGCAGUGGGGAAUUUUGGACAAUGGGGGCAACCCUGACCCAGCCAUGCCGCGUGUGUGAAGAAGGCCUUCGGGUUGUAAAGCAUUUUUGGCGGGAACGAAACGGUCUGUGCUAAUACCACGGACUAAUGACGGUACCCGCAGAAUAAGCACCGGCUAACUACGUGCCAGCAGCCGCGGUAAUACGUAGGGUGCGAGCGUUAAUCGGAAUUACUGGGCGUAAAGCGUGCGCAGGCGGUUUCGCAAGUCAGAUGUGAAAUCCCCGGGCUCAACCUGGGAACU
rnacentral:rRNA from 1 species